ensembl:rRNA 5S_rRNA 5S ribosomal RNA
GGCUACGGCAUACCACCCUGAACACGCCUGAUCUCAUCUGAUCUCGGAAGCUAAGCAGGGUCGGGCCUAGUUAGUACUUGGAUGGGAGAAAGAAUGUUAAGGCUGGGCCAUAGAAGUCA